rnacentral:rRNA from 1 species
GACGUAGGGCGCAAGCGUUGUCCGGAUUUAUUGGGCGUAAAGAGCUCGUAGGCGGCUUGUUGCGUCGUCCGUGAAAACCCGCAGCUCAACUGCGGGCUUGCGGACGAUACGGGCAGGCUGGAGUUCGGUAGGGGAGACUGGAAUUCCUGGUGUAGCGGUGAAAUGCGCAGAUAUCGGGAGGAACACCGGUGGCGAAGGCGGUUCUCUGGGCCUUACCUGACGCUGAGGAGCGAAAGCGUGGGGAGCGAACAGG